UGGCUGUGCCAAUGGCCACCCAGUGGUACCUGAUCCCAUUCCUCCUGACUGGAUGAGACCUGUCAACAGAAGUCUCCAGACACCUCCUACAGGAGUAUUUGGGUCAGCAUCAGGGACAUUAAUGCGGACAUUCCCUUCACUUCGUAACAAGUGAAGACUGUUCACUUACAACUGGCUUGUUGACUUCGCUUGGAACAACUAUGAAUUCAGAAAUCCAUGUGAUCCAGCCUCAGAGCAGAAUUACUAUCAAAUACAUUCAGCUCCAUUAA